GAACACGUAGCUCAGUUGGCAGAGCAUUGGGCUAGUAUUCCAAAGGUCGUAGGUUCGAUUCCCACCGUGGCCA